rnacentral:rRNA from 1 species
GACAGAGGCCUCGAGCGUUAGGCGGAAUCACUGGGCUUAAAGCGUGUGUAGGCGGGCCCGUAAGUGUCUUGUGAAAUCCCACGGCUCAACCGUGGAACUGCUGGGCAUACUGCGGGUCUUGGGCCAACUAGGGGCAGCCGGAACAAGCGGUGGAGCGGUGAAAUGCGUAGAUAUCGCUUGGAACGCCGAAGGUGAAAACAGGCUGCUGGGGUUGCGCAGACGCUGAGACACGAAAGCCAGGGGAGCAAACGGG